rnacentral:rRNA from 1 species
CACGUAGGGGGCAAGCGUUGUCCGGAUUUAUUGGGCGUAAAGAGCUCGUAGGUGGUUCGGUAAGUCGGGUGUUAAACCCCCAGGCUCAACCUGGGGACGCCACUCGAUACUGCUGUGACUAGAGUCCGGUAGGGGAGCGUGGAAUUCCUGGUGUAGCGGUGAAAUGCGCAGAUAUCAGGAGGAACACCAGCGGCGAAGGCGGCGCUCUGGGCCGGUACUGACACUGAGGAGCGAAAGCGUGGGUAGCAAACAGGA